rnacentral:rRNA from 1 species
AUUGAACGCUGGCGGCAGGCCUAACACAUGCAAGUCGAACGAGUGGCGGACGGGGGAGUAAUGUCUGGGAAACUGCCUGAUGGAGGGGGAUAACUACUGGAAACGGUAGCUAAUACCGCAUACCAUCGGAUGUGCCCAGAUGGGAUUAGCUCUGAGGUGGGGUAAAGGCUCCCCUAGGCGACGAUCCCUAGCUGGUCUGAGAGGAUGACCAGCCACGCUGUAACUGAGACCCGGUCCAGACUCCUACGGGAGGCAGCAUUGGGGAAUAUUGCACAAUGGGCUCAAGCCUGAUGCAGCCCUGCCGCGUGUAUGAAGAAGGCCUUCGGGUUGUAAAGUACUUUCAGCGGGGAGGCGUUACCCGCAGAAGAAGCACCGGCUAACUCCGUGCCAGCAGCCGCGGUAAUAC